ACAGGUAAGAUAUAUACCAAAAUGGGAGGACAUCAUAGCUAUUACUGUUCCAACAUGGCAGUUUGUGGUGGGGCCGGAAAAAGAGACACAACUUCGGAUGCUUUGACUUCGAGAUCUGGGGAAGGGGUGGUAAACGCCACUAGCUUAUGCUUUGCCAUCUUGGCCGUCAAGAUGUGCAUGAAAAAACGCUUCGAUAAACGCCCGGAGAGUCCUGGGGAUAUGGGACUGAAAAGUAUCUGGUUUGAAGGUUCAGAAGGUAUUAAAGAGCAAACAAGCCUUCCGGAUAAAUUUGACAAAACAAAGGAAACCGACAUCAUCAUACAUGGAUACUUGGUGGACACAUCACUUCCCGAAAUACGUGACCUGGCUAGUAUGCUAAAACAGAAAGGUAACAAUGUUCUGUUGAUUGACUGGGGUAAGGGAGCCGGAGUGAACUACCGUCAGUCUUCCUCCAACGUUCAGACCGUGGGGGCAUACGUGUACAUGAUUCUGGUCAAGAACAAGAUCCCCUGGGACAAGGUCCAUCUCAUAGGUCAAGGUCUGGGUGCCCACGCAGCGGCGGAGGCAGGGAAACUCGCCAAGGGGAAGGUCAACCGUAUUACUGGCUUAGAUCCAGCGAGUCCAUUGUUUGAAGAUACGGAAUUUGGAAUCAGCAAAGAAAGUGCUAAAUUUGUAGACAUCAUUCAUACAGAUGCGAGACCUUUUGCUAUGGAAUGAAAAAACCUUGCGGACAUCUUGACGUGUAUGUAAAUGGAGGAAGAAGACAACCAGGGUGUACUUAUAACCCGAAAAACCCUGUUAGAAUCCACGCUCUUAAAAGAGCAACGUUCGACAAAGCGUGUGGUCAUCUUAAAGCCGUGGCUUACUUCGUAGAGUCGGCCAGAGACAACUGUAAACUGAGAGCUUGUGAAUGUACCUGGAAGAAAUUUCUGGCUUCUAAAUGCAGUCGUGACAAGUGUGUGUACUGGGGUUAUGAUACCAAAGAAGAUUCUGCCGGUACAUACUACGGGGUCACGGCAACUGCUUUUCCCUACUGCAGAACAGAUGGUUCUGAGUAGAGUUGAACAUUUCACGAGGCUAAAAUGAUUGAUUGUAAGCCUUCAUUAUGUUUGACGAUCAUUGUUUAUCAAUAAAUGCGUUUAUCUG
rnacentral:misc_RNA from 1 species